AAACCCUGAAACACCCACACAGUGUUCACAAUGUGCUAAAUAUAUAAUUAGAAUAAUAUCUAUCUAAUACAUCCUAAUCGCUGGCCUGUAAAAAAGACAUUGUACUGAAGUGAUUUGGCCAAACCAUUUCUCUUGUCCCAACCGCCACAACAGGGAAUCACCACCCUGAUUAAGGUAGGAACCGUAUAUAAGUUCCCACUGGUUCCGGUGGCGCUUCUUAGCCGUUGCACCGACAAUCAAACACGAGCACCCAAACAGCUGGCAAUCCACUCCACAAGUCUCUCGGUCUACUCAAUAAAUGCGUCGACUCCGAGCACUGGCGUGUGAAGACCCAGCGGAGUGGGCACUGGCGUGUGAAGACCCAGCAGAGAGGGGAGAGCCUUGAACAGGGGCUGGAGAAGAGUGCCUGCUGGGACGACCUCUGAGAGCCUCGGACAGGGGCAGGAGAAGAGUGCCUGCUGGGACGACCUCUGAGAGCCUUGAACAGGGGCAGGAGAAGAGUGCCUGCUGGGACGACCUCUGAGAGCCUCGACCGGAUGGCAAGGAGUCCUGCUGGACCUGACGGAGAAACAGCUGUAUCCUGAGAACCCCUGGAUUAGCCAUUGGAUUUUCAUUAAAACAUCAUUCAAUUCAGUUACUUGAGGAGGAUCUGAUCAGGUGUAUGCCAAAACAUUAACCUUCUGAUAGCCCCAACUUCCUCUGGGACAUGCAGGAUCUGAUCUAUGACAAGGCAACAUCAAUUGUAAAUUAUGUAGAAUUUCAGCUUUUCUGAGUGUGGUUUCCGUAAUACCACUCUAAGGGCCUCAUUUACUAACUUUUGCCAGCGCAGCGUAAUCAGCGCCUUUGCCAAACCGCAUACAGCGCAUGAUGUGUUUCCGCAUUUUGCGUAGUAUUUAUCAAACAAGAACCUCGUCGCGUAAUCAGCGCCUUACUCUGCCCUUUAGUGUUAUUAGUGGGCCUGAAAGAAAGAAAGGGCCUGCGUGUUCCUGCCACCAUGGAUGAUGAGUUAAAAUUAGAAUUAGAAUUAGAAUAAGAAUUAGAGCUUUUGGUUCACGAGGUCCACACUACGUUGUCAGGGGUAACGGAGGUUUUCAGAUACGCUGACCUUGCCAUGGCACUGGGGGUAGCUUGCGCUCGAGAGGCUAUAACGUCAAAAUAAACAUGGAAGGUGAAAUGAAUAUGCUGCUCUGUCUCUACAAUUUAGUUUAGUUAGUGUACUUCAGGUACAAGUACUUUUCCUGAAUAGAUACGCAAUACUCCUACGCAGAAGGCGAGCACUUUACUCGGUGUGCUUGAAUGAUGGGUGGAAAAGGCAAAGAAUACGGUUUAAACCCUACAUGGAGCGGACGGAUUCUGGGUAAGACCUGGCUGAACAGCUGGCGAGACAAUUUUUUUAUAUGCCUAUAUUAAAUGAUACAUUGAAUAUAAACAUUUAAACAAAUAACAUUUCUGAUGUUCGUAUUUUUUUAUUUUUUUUUAUGAAUUGCCUUAAUUUUCUCGCACGCACAUAGUAUUCAUUCAGCAGCUGAUAUGCCAUGCUAAAACACCUCUUGUUUCGUUACAAAUGGAACAGACCUGGUUAAGAUCUGCUUUUAUGAGGCGGAGAUUUCUCACGCAAAUUAGAGACGCGCUCUCGUCAGGCAGUUUUAGUAAAUACAACGGAAUACAUAGAUAGGCGCACUUUACGCAUCUCCUCCCAUCUCUUUGCGGCUAACACCCACUUUCCCUUAUACCCUCCCAGC
ensembl:lncRNA